CCUACGGGAGGCAGCAGUGAGGAAUAUUGGUCAAUGGACGAGAGUCUGAACCAGCCAAGUAGCGUGAAGGAUGACUGCCCUAUGGGUUGUAAACUUCUUUUAUAUGGGAAUAAAAUGUUCCACGUGUGGGAUUUUGUAUGUACCAUAUGAAUAAGGAUCGGCUAACUCCGUGCCAGCAGCCGCGGUAAUACGGAGGAUCCGAUCGUUAUCCGGAUUUAUUGGGUGUAAAGGGAGCGUAGGUGGAUUGUUAAGUCAGUUGUGAAAGUUUGCGGCUCAACCGUAAAAUUGCAGUUGAAACUGGCAGUCUUGAGUACAGUAGAGGUGGGCGGAAUUCGUGGUGUAGCGGUGAAAUGCUUAGAUAUCACGAAGAACUCCGAUUGCGAAGGCAGUUCACUGGACUGCAACUGACACUGAGGCUCGAAAGUGUGGGUAUCAAACAGGAUUAGAUACCCGGGUAGUC
rnacentral:rRNA from 1 species